rnacentral:rRNA from 1 species
UACGUAGGGCGCAAGCGUUAUCCGGAAUUAUUGGGCGUAAAGAGCUUGUAGGCGGUUUGUCGCGUCUGCCGUGAAAAUUCGAGGCUCAACCUCGAACUUGCGGUGGGUGACGGGCAGACUAGAGUGUGGUAGGGGAGACUGGAAUUCCUGGUGUAGCGGUGAAAUGCGCAGAUAUCAGGAGGAACACCGAUGGCGAAGGCAGGUCUCGUGGGCCACUACUGACGCUGAGAAGCGAAAGCAUGGGGAGCGAACAGG